GCUCAGACAGCCAGGAUGUUGGCUUAGAAGCAGCCAUCAUUUAAAGAAAGCGUAAUAGCUCACUGGUCGAGUCGGCCUGCGCGGAAGAUGUAACGGGGCUAAGUAGUAAACCGAAGCUGCGGCAAUGUGCUUUUGCACAUUGGGUAGGGGAGCGUUCUGUAAGCGGUUGAAGGUGUGUGGUAACGCAUGCUGGACGUAUCAGAAGUGCGAAUGCUGACAUGAGUAACGAUAAAGGGGGUGAAAAACCUCCUCGCCGGAAGACCAAGGGUUCCUGUCCAACGUUAAUCGGGGCAGGGUAAGUCGACCCCUAAGGCGAGGCCGAAAGGCGUAGUCGAUGGGAAACGGGUUAAUAUUCCCGUACUUCUUACAAUUGCGAUGGGGGGACGGAGAAGGCUAGGUGGGCCUGGCGACGGUUGUCCAGGUUCAAGUGCGUAGGCUUAAGAGUUAGGUAAAUCCGGCUCUUUCUAAGGCUGAGACACGACGUCGAGCACCUACGGGUGUGAAGUCAUUGAUGCCAUGCUUCCAGGAAAAGCCUCUAAGCUUCAGAUUGUAAGGAAUCGUACCCCAAACCGACACAGGUGGUCGGGUAGAGAAUACCAAGGCGCUUGAGAGAACUCGGGUGAAGGAACUAGGCAAAAUGGUACCGUAACUUCGGGAGAAGGUACGCUCUCGACGGUGAAGUCCCUUGCGGAUGGAGCUGAC
rnacentral:rRNA from 1 species